AGAGUUUGAUCCUGGCUCAGAAUCAACGCUGGCGGCGUGCCUAACACAUGCAAGUCGCACGAGAAAGUGGAGCAAUCCAUGAGUAAAGUGGCGCACGGGUGAGUAACACGUGAAUUAUCUACCUCCGAGUGGGGAAUAACUGAGAGAAAUCUUAGCUAAUACCGCAUAACACUUACGAGUCAAAGCAGCAAUGCGCUUGGAGAGGAGUUCGCGGCCGAUUAGUUAGUUGGCGGGGUAACGGCCCACCAAGACGAUGAUCGGUAUCCGGCCUGAGAGGGCGCACGGACACACUGGAACUGAAACACGGUCCAGACUCCUACGGGAGGCAGCAGUGGGGAAUUUUGCGCAAUGGGGGAAACCCUGACGCAGCAACGCCGCGUGGAGGAUGAAAUAUCUUGGUAUGUAAACUCCUUUCGAUGGGGAAGAUUAUGACGGUACCCAUAGAAGAAGCCCCGGCUAACUUCGUGCCAGCAGCCGCGGUAAUACGAGGGGGGCAAGCGUUGUUCGGAUUUAUUGGGCGUAAAGGGUGCGUAGGCGGUUUGGCAAGUCUGAUGUGAAAUCUAUGGGCUCAACCCAUAGUCUGCAUCAGAAACUGCCGGGCUUGAGUAUGGGAGAGGUGAGUGGAAUUUCCGGUGUAGCGGUGAAAUGCGUAGAUAUCGGAAGGAACACCUGUGGCGAAAGCGGCUCACUGGACCAUAACUGACGCUGAUGCACGAAAGCUAGGGGAGCAAACAGGAUUAGAUACCCUAGUAGUCC
rnacentral:rRNA from 1 species